UACGGAGGAUGCAAGCGUUAUCCGGAAUGAUUGGGCGUAAAGCGUCCGCAGGUGGCAAUGUAAGUCUGCUGUCAAAGCGUCUGGCUCAACCAGAUAAAGGCAGUGGAAACUACAUAGCUAGAGUAAGGUAGGGGUAGAGGGAAUUCCUGGUGUAGCGGUGAAAUGCGCAGAUAUCAGGAAGAACACCGAUGGCGAAGGCAGUUCUCUGGGCAACAACUGACGCUGAGGAGCGAAAGCGUGGGGAGCGAACAGG
rnacentral:rRNA from 1 species